rnacentral:rRNA from 1 species
GACGAACGCUGGCGGCGUGCUUAACACAUGCAAGUCGAACGGAAAGGCCCUGCUUUUGUGGGGUGCUCGAGUGGCGAACGGGUGAGUAACACGUGAGUAACCUGCCCUUGACUUUGGGAUAACUUCAGGAAACUGGGGCUAAUACCGGAUAGGAGCUCCUGCUGCAUGGAGGGGGUUGGAAAGUUUCGGCGGUUGUGGAUGGACUCGCGGCUUAUCAGCUAGUUGGUGGGGUAGUGGCUGACCAAGGCAGUGACUGGUAGCCGGCCUGGGAGGGUGACCGGGCUCCAUGCGCCUGCGGGACGCCCCAGUCUCCUACGGUAGGCAGCAGUGGCGAAUCUGGCCCAGUGGUCCCGCGUCUGUUACGGAGGCGUCGCGUGCGUAAUGACGUCCUUCGGGUUAUGAACCGCUUCCGCCUGUGACGAAGCUUUUGUGACGGUACUGGGUGAAGAAGCACCGGCUAACUACGUG